rnacentral:misc_RNA from 1 species
GAUGAAGAACGUAGCGAAAUGCGAUAAGUAAUGUGAAUUGCAGAAUUUAGUGAAUCAUCGAAUCUUUGAACGCACAUUGCGCCCCCUGGUAUUCCGGGGGGCAUGCCUGUUCGAGCGUCAUUUCACCACUCAAGCCUCGCUUGGUAUUGGGCAACGCGGUCCGCCGCGUGCCUCAAAUCGACCGGCUGGGUCUUCUGUCCCCUAAGCGUUGUGGAAACUAUUCGCUAAAGGGUGUUCGGGAGGCUACGCCGUAAAACAACCCCAUUUCUAAGGUUGACCUCGGAUCAGGUAGGGAUACCCGCUGAACUUAAGCAUAUCAAUAAGCGGAGGA